GGUUCUAAUGGCCAUGCCGAAAUUAAUACCUUCAACCCAGGAUAGCAGGUGCAAUAUCUUCAGAAACUGGGACCUGCAGAUGAACUACAAAUAAACUUCAGAAGAGAAAUGCUGAGUUGGUUCCUUUGAGACAUCAUCAUCUACAGGCAUGCAGUUCACUUGAGGACAAUCAAUAAUCUAUUCUGAUCCUGAUCAAAUCACCUGAUGUCUCUGUGAUCGUGUAUCCUCCCACGUUAGAAGCAAUCAGGCGGAGAAUUAUGAGGGCAUUGAAAGAUUAGCCUCAUCAGUUACCUGCUGUGACCAUCGGCUUUCUGGAUAUUCAAAGAGCCUGCUGAUUUCCAUUUAAAUUACAUGAAGAUAUAUUUGUCUUUUAGAACUUCAAAGCAUUUAAAGGUGGUGUAAAACCAAAACACAUUGAAGAAGGCAAAGAGAUGAUUUAUCAAAUAUUCUUGAAGAGACCGAUGUAUACACAAGCUGCACUGUGGAGCAGAUAAGGGCAUUUUGUGCCUAUUCAUUCUCAAUUUGAAACACAAUGUAAUUCAACCAAUAUUAAUGUAUUUC
rnacentral:lncRNA from 1 species